UCCAAAACUAUUCUCUUUGAUAGGACCAGGGAGCAAGUCUUCCUUAUCCUGUUUAGAAAACCUACAUCGAGACAAAUAAACAUGGAGUCCAUCUUCCACGAGAAACGAGAAGGCUCACUUUGUGCUCAACAUUGCCUGAAUAAUUUAUUGCAAGGAGAAUAUUUUAGCCCUGUGAAAUUAUCCUCAAUUGCACAUCAGCUGGAUGAGGAAGAAAGGAUGAGAAUGGCAGAAGGAAGAGUUACUAGUGAAGAUUAUCGCACAUUUUUACGGCAGCCUUCUGGAAAUAUGGAUGACAGGAAAUAUGAUUUCUUCUCUAUCCAGGUUAUAAGCAAUGCCUUGAAAGUUUGGGGUUUAGAACUAAUCCUGUUCAACAGUCCCAAGUAUCAGAGGCUCAGGAUCGAUCCUAUAAAUGAAAGAUCAUUUAUAUACAAUUAUAAGGAACACUGGUUUACAGUUAGAAAAUUAGGAAAACAGCGGUUUAACUUGAAUUCUCUCUUGACGGGUCCAGAAUUAAUAUCAGAUACAUAUCUUGCACUUUUCUUGGCUCAGUUACAACAGGGAGGUUAUUCUAUAUUUGUUGUUAAGGGUGAUCUGCCAGACUGUGAAGCUGUCCAACUUCUACAGAUGAUUAGGGUCCAACAGAUGCAUCGACCAAAACUUAUUGGAGAAGAAUUAGCACAACUAAAAGAGCAAAGAGUUCAUAAAACAGACCUGGAACGAGUGUUAGAAGCACAUGAUGGCUCAGGAAUAUUAGAUGAAGGUGAGGAGGAUUUGCAGAGGGCUCUGGCACUAAGCCGCCAAGAAAUUGACAUGGAAGGUGAAGAAGCAGAUCUCCACGGGGCUCUUCAGCUAAGGUAGUUCCAGAAAUAUAUCUCAAGAUAUUCCACAGACAUGAGGUACAAAUCUUACUUCAGAAGAGCUUCGGAAGAGACGAGAAGCCUACUUUGAAAAACAGCAACAGCAGCAGUGGGACCCAUCAGGACAGAGUUCACCUCCAUGUGAAAGGCCAACCACCAGUUCAGGAGCUCUUGGGAGUGGUCUAGGUGAUGCCAUGAGUGAAGAAGACAUGAGUCAGGCAACUGUGACCAUGUCUUUAGAAACUGUCAGAAAUGAUUCGAAAACAGAAGGAAAAAAAAAUAUCUUUUAAAAACAAUUUAGAUAUUCAUACUUUGCAACAUUAUCCUGUGUGAUUACAGCAUAGGGUCCAUUUUGGUAUGUGUCAAAAAGAUGAGGAAAUAAGACUUUUAGUGGUUUGCAAACAAAAUGAUGGGAAAGUGGAGCAAUGCGUCAGUUGUAGGACUAAAUAAUGAUCUUCCAAAUAUUAGCCAAAGAGGCAUUCAGCAAUU